rnacentral:rRNA from 1 species
UACGUAGGGGGCAAGCGUUGUCCGGAAUCAUUGGGCGUAAAGCGCGUGUAGGCGGCUUGGUAAGUCCGCUCUGAAAGCCCGGGGCUCAACCCCGGGAGGCGGGUGGAUACUGCUGGGCUCGAGUCCGGAAGAGGAGUGUGGAAUUCCUGGUGUAGCGGUGAAAUGCGCAGAUAUCAGGAGGAACACCAAUGGCGAAGGCGACUACCUGGCCUGUUCUUGACGCUGAGGCGCGAAAGCUAGGGGAGCAAACGGG